CAACAAACUCAGUAAGGACCAGCUGUCUUCCUUAAUUUUUGGCUAAAAUGCAGAAGAGUUUUUCUUUUCCAGUCUUUGCCUGUGCAUUUCGGGCAAACGAAUUCAAUUGCCUUUGUUAUACUCCGAAUUCAAACGGAGUUCCAAAUCCCAAAUGUCCUUGAUGUGUUUCGAUGGAUGAGGUGUUGCCAAGUUUUGUCGAGACAACAUGUCUGUUGCCAUAUUUUGCUGCUGUCUCUGAUGAGCAAAUACUGCCCCAAAAUGUUGCAUCUGAUGAGAACAUAUACUGUAAUCAAAUGUUGUCACUUUCUAAAGGCAUUUUGCUGCUGCGUUUUGCUAUCGGCUGCUGCAUUUUUGGGGCUACUUGUUGCAUUAUUGAGGUCAAAUAUUCUAAGACGAAAGGCGGUAUUUCAAGCCAAGUGAUAACUGCAUGUUAGGCCAAGCAAAAUGCUACAUUCUGGGCCAAAGUGCUGCUGCACUUUCAGAUGUGGCAUUCUGAGGGAAUAUUGCUGCAUUUAAGUGAAUAAGGGGGCAGCGCUUGAGGUUAAAUGUUGCUAUUUGUUUAAGGCGAGCAACUGCUGCACUCUGAGCUGAUUUGCUGCUGCAUUUCAAGGCAAGCAGGUGCAGCCAAAAUGCUGCUUCACUUUAAAGCAAACAGAUGUUGCGUUUGGUGGAAAUGACUGCUGUAUUUUCUGAGGCCAAACAGAUGCUGAAUUGGUGUCCCAAUGCUGCACUUUAAAGGGCAACAACUGCUGCACUUUAAAGCAAACAGAUGCUUCAUUUGAGCUGUUAUAUUUGAUAAACUAUUGUUGCAUUUCAAUGAGUUUGUCGUUGUACUCUAUGGGCUGAUUGCUGUGCUUGAAGGGCUGCAUCUUUAGUAAAUAUAUGAGCUUGGAGGCUAAAUGUUGUUGCUGCCCGAAGGGAAAGGGCCGUCAUGUUUUUGCUGAAGUUCGAAAUGCCAUAUCUUGAGCAAACUGCUGCA